rnacentral:snRNA from 1 species
UUGCCAUAUCUCGAUCUUUUCAUCUCA